GUACACUCCUACGGGAGGCAGCAGUGGGGAAUAUUGGACAAUGGGCGCAAGCCUGAUCCAGCCAUGCCGCGUGAGUGAUGAAGGCCCUAGGGUUGUAAAGCUCUUUCACCGGUGAAGAUAAUGACGGUAACCGGAGAAGAAGCCCCGGCUAACUUCGUGCCAGCAGCCGCGGUAAUACGAAGGGGGCUAGCGUUGUUCGGAUUUACUGGGCGUAAAGCGCACGUAGGCGGACUAUUAAGUCAGGGGUGAAAUCCCGGGGCUCAACCCCGGAACUGCCUUUGAUACUGGUAGUCUUGAGUUCGAGAGAGGUGAGUGGAAUUCCGAGUGUAGAGGUGAUAUUCGUAGAUAUUCGGAGGAACACCAGUGGCGAAGGCGGCUCACUGGCUCGAUACUGACGCUGAGGUGCGAAAGCGUGGGGAGCAAACAGGAUUAGAAACCCCAGUAGUCCC
rnacentral:rRNA from 1 species